rnacentral:rRNA from 1 species
CUUUGAUGAAGUUUUCGGAUGGAUUUAAAACAGCUUAGUGGCGGACGGGUGAGUAACGCGUGGGUAACCUGCCUUGUACUGGGGGACAACAGUUGGAAACGACUGCUAAUACCGCAUAAGCGCACAGCUUCGCAUGAAGCAGUGUGAAAAACUCCGGUGAUACAAGAUGGACCCGCGUCCGAUUAGCUAGUUGGUGAGGUAACGGCUCACCAAGGCGACGAUCGGUAGCCGAACUGAGAGGGUGACCGGCCACAUUGGGACUGAGACACGGCCCAAACUCC